rnacentral:piRNA from 1 species
GCAGAGCAGGCAGACCAAGGAGUUCAUCUUC